rnacentral:rRNA from 1 species
UACGGGGGGAGCAAGCGUUGUUCGGAUUUACUGGGCGUAAAGGGCGCGUAGGCGGCCACCGCAAGUCGAUUGUGAAAUCUCCGGGCUUAACCCGGAAAGGUCAACCGAUACUGCGGGGCUAGAGUGCGGAAGGGGCAACUGGAAUUCUUGGUGUAGCGGUGAAAUGCGUAGAUAUCACUUGGAACGCCAAAGGUGAAAACAGUCUGCUGGGAACUUGCUGACGCUGAGACACGAAAGCCAGGGGAGCGAACGGG